UCCUACGGGAGGCAGCAGUAGGGAAUCUUGGACAAUGGGCGCAAGCCUGAUCCAGCCAUGCCGCGUGAGCGAUGAAGGCCUUAGGGUUGUAAAGCUCUUUCAUCGGUGAAGAUAAUGACGGUAGCCGAAGAAGAAGUCCCGGCUAACUCCGUGCCAGCAGCCGCGGUAAUACGGAGGGGACUAGCGUUGUUCGGAAUUACUGGGCGUAAAGCGCAUGUAGGCGGAUUGUUAAGUCAGAGGUGAAAUCCCAGGGCUCAACCCUGGAACUGCCUUUGAUACUGGCAAUCUUGAGUCCGGAAGAGGCGAGUGGAAUUCCGAGUGUAGAGGUGAAAUUCGUAGAUAUUCGGAGGAACACCAGUGGCGAAGGCGACUCGCUGGUCCGGUACUGACGCUGAGAUGCGAAAGCGUGGGGAGCAAACAGGAUUAGAUACCCUGGUAGUCCACGCCGUAAACGAUGAGUGCUAGUCGUCGGGCAGUAUACUGUUCGGUGACGCAGCUAACGCAUUAAGCACUCCGCCU
rnacentral:rRNA from 1 species